GACGAACGCUGGCGGCGUGCCUAAUACAUGCAAGUCGAACGCUUCUUUUUCCACCGGAGCUUGCUCCACCGGAAAAAGAGGAGUGGCGAACGGGUGAGUAACACGUGGGUAACCUGCCCAUCAGAAGGGGAUAACACUUGGAAACAGGUGCUAAUACCGUAUAACAAUCAUAACCGCAUGGUUAUGAUUUGAAAGGCGCUUCUGGUGUCACUGAUAGAUGGACCCGCGGUGCAUUAGCUAGUCGGUGGGGUAACGGCCUACCGAGGCGAUGAUGCAUAGCCGACCUGAGAGGGUGAUCGGCCAUAUUGGGACUGAGACACGGCCCAAACUCCUACGGGAGGCAGCAGUAGGGAAUCUUCGGCAAUGGACGGAAGUCUGACCGAGCAACGCCGCGUGAGUGAAGAAGGUUUUCGGAUCGUAAAGCUCUGUUGUUAGAGAAGAACAAGUGUGAAAGUAACUAGUCACACCGUGACGGUAUCUAACCAGAAAGCCACGGCUAACUACGUGCCAGCCGCCGCGGUAACAC
rnacentral:rRNA from 1 species